rnacentral:RNase_P_RNA from 2 species
GGCGCAGGCUGGAUGGUCGCGUCCCGCGUAGCGGGAUGAGGAAAGUCCGGGCUCCAAAGGGCAGCGUAGUGGGUAACGCCCAUCCGAAGAGCAUUUGCUUUUUGAGGAUAAGAGCAACAGAGACGAGUUUGGGAAGCGUAAUAGUAACAUACGAAGCUUAAGCAUGUGUUACUGCUUCUCAAGGUGAAACGCGGCAAUCUCUACGCGGAGCAAGACCAAAUAGGUCCAGCUUAAAGAGCUGCCCGCUCGCAAUAGCUGGACGGGUAGGUUGCAUGAUUCUGGCAGUGAUGCCAGAACACAGAUAGAUGAUCAUUAUCCUUUUUUAAAGGAACAGAACCCGGCUUAUAAGCCUGCGCCUAUA